ACCGGCGCACGGGUGCGGAACGCGUAUGGAACCUGCCCCUGUCAGGGGAAUAGCCCAGGGAAACUUGGAUUAAUGCCCCAUGGUACCGUUAUAUCGCAUGAUAUGGCGGUUAAAGAUUUAUCGGACAGGGAUGGCCAUGCGUACCAUUAGUUAGUUGGUGGGGUAACGGCCCACCAAGGCAGCGAUGGUUAGGGGCCCUGAGAGGGGGAUCCCCCACACUGGUACUGAGACACGGACCAGACUCCUACGGGAGGCAGCAGUGAGGAAUAUUGGACAAUGGGCGGGAGCCUGAUCCAGCCAUGCCGCGUGCAGGAUGACUGCCCUAUGGGUUGUAAACUGCUUUUAUACGGGAAGAAACCUCCCCUUGCGAGGGGAGCUGACGGUACCGUAAGAAUAAGGACCGGCUAACUCCGUGCCAGCAGCCGCGGUAAUACGGAGGGUCCGAGCGUUAUCCGGAAUCAUUGGGUUUAAAGGGUCCGUAGGCGGGCCGUUAAGUCAGGGGUGAAAGUCUGCGGCUCAACCGUAGAAUUGCCUUUGAUACUGGCGGUCUUGAGUCAUGGUGGGGUUGCCGGAACAUGUGGUGUAGCGGUGAAAUGCAUAGAUAUCACAUAGAACACCGAUCGCGAAGGCAGGUGACCAACCAUGUACUGACGCUGAUGGACGAAAGCGUGGGUAGCGAACGGGAUUAGAUACCCCGGUAGUCCACGCCGUAAACGAUGGAUACUAGCUGUGGGGACCUCGGUCUCCGUGGCCAAGCGAAAGUGAUAA
rnacentral:rRNA from 1 species